rnacentral:lncRNA from 12 species
UUUCUCUCUUCCAGUAAUUUUGUUCUUUUCUCUCUUUCAGUGAACUCCAAAGCAGGAAAAGCUUCAAAAGCUUGUGUCAAGCCAGACUCCAAGAGUUGUGGCUUAGGGUCUACAACACUAAGGUCAAGAAGCAUUAAAAAUCCACAGUUAUAAACUAACACACCAAAGAUGUUUACUUAUGGUUCAGUGGUACUUUCCAAGGCUGGGACAAAUAAUCAGGAUGGAAUUGUUUUUCCUGAGGUCCUCUUCAAAUCUCAAAGCUCAUACGUUGUACAGAUAUUAGAGAACAAACAAUAUGUAAUAAGUCACAGCAGAUGAAGACU